rnacentral:rRNA from 1 species
GAGUUUGAUCAUGGCUCAGAAUCAACGUUGGCGGCGUGCCUAACACAUGCAAGUCGAACGAGAAAGUGGUAGCAAUACCAUGAGUAAAGUGGCGCACGGGUGAGUAACACGUGACUAACCUACCCUGGAGUGGGGGAUAACCGAGGGAAACCUCAGCUAAUACCGCAUAAUACCCACGGGUCAAAGGAGCAAUUCGCUUCAGGAGGGGGUCGCGGCCGAUUAGUUAGUUGGCGGGGUAAUGGCCCACCAAGACUGUGAUCGGUAUCCGGCCUGAGAGGGCGCACGGACACACUGGAACUGAAACACGGUCCAGACUCCUACGGGAGGCAGCAGUGGAGAAUUUUGCGCAAUGGGGGAAACCCUGACGCAGCAACGCCGCGUGGAGGAUGAAGUACUUCGGUACGUAAACUCCUUUCGAUCGGGACGAUAAUGACGGUACCGUGAGAAGAAGCCCCGGCUAACUUCGUGCCAGCAGCCGCGGUAAUACG